UGCGGCAGGUAGAUUAUAGGU
rnacentral:miRNA from 1 species